CAAUGAUCACCAUCAACAUACGCACUUAAACCAGAACUACCGGAAUCAAAUCCUUUGACCUUUGACGGGAACCAAUGAGAGAAGCGCUGCUGAAGUGCCGGUUGUGUGGAGAAGAAAAGCGAAAGGCUUGAAAAUCGGCUGCUUUCUAACGUUUAUUUCUUGAAAAAGUCAUGUGUUCUGUUCCAUUCAAUUUAGAAAAUGUGGUUACGCACUUAAACCUCUUGGGAAGACUUUCAAACCUCACAAGAAACGUUUAACGUUACUGUGUAAAAGAAAGAAGGUGGUAUCGGUUGGAUAGGACAUUAUGCAAGCUAGCUAACAUAGAGAGGAGAGGGUGGAAAUGAGUUCGAAGAGGAGGUACAAGCCCAACAGGGGUGGGGGUCGCUUCAAUAAGCCCCGAGGAGGAGGAGGUAGAGGAGGUGGCAGAGGAGGAGGCGGCGGCGGAGGCGGCGGCGGAGGCGGCGGAGGAGGCGGCGGAGGAGGCAGUCGGAAAGCAGCUUACGGUGACUGGGAUGACGGAGAUGACUUUUGCCUGGAUGCAGGACCUGCCCGCCCGAGCAGGCCUUCUUCCAGCAGAGGAGGACGUGGGUUCAGCACGGGACGAGGAGGAGGGGCUUCCAGCAGAGGAGGACGUGGGUUCAGCAUGGGACGAGGAGGAGGGGCUAGGGGUGGUGGGA